rnacentral:rRNA from 1 species
CUCCAGACUCCUACGGGAGGCAGCAGUGGGGGAUAUUGCACAAUGGGGGGGACCCUGAUGCAGCGACGCCGCGUGGGUGAAGGAGCGUUUCGGCGCGUAAAGCCCUAUCGGCAGGGAAGAAGGAGGACGGGACCUGACUAAGAAGCCCCGGCUAACUACGUGCCAGCAGCCGCGGUAAUACGUAGGGGGCAAGCGUUAUCCGGAUUUACUGGGUGUAAAGGGGGCGCAGACGGCAGCGCAAGCCAGGAGUGAAUGCCCGGGGCCCAACCCCGGGACUGCUCUUGGAACUGCGCGGCUGGAGUGCAGGCGGGGCAGGCGGAAUUCCUGGUGUAGCGGUGAAAUCCGUAGAUAUCAGGAGGAACACCGGCGGCGAAGGCGGCCUGCUGGACCGCGACUGACGUUGAGGCUCGAAAGCGUGGGGAGCGAACAGGAUUAGAUCCCCUAGUACA